GUAUGCAAAUAGUAAAACAAUUAAUUAGCUCAUACAUCAAUUUAGUACCUCAGCAAACAAUAGGAUGCAAAACUUAUACAAGAGAUAAAGGCUUGGAGUGCAAUCUCCCUAUUCUCUAAAUAAUACCGAUAUAAAGAAAUUCAUCAAGAUUUCUCCAAUAUUAGAAGACAAAAUCAAUGAUUUACAAGCAAUCCUGCUCACUCCAUUUUUAUCUUUUGCAGCUGGUGUGACUGGCGUUGUCCCAGAACCAGAAGGCAGAAGCAGAAGAACCUGAACUUUUUGGAGCAGCAGCUUUACAAGCGCUAACAUCGCCGGGGAUAUUACAGGCCUUAGGAAGCGCAAGUGGCAUCCAACGACUUAUUGUCCCGAUAACCUGCAGGGAAAUAUUCCCAAACAGCAGGUCAUAUAAACAAUAUUCCCAAACAGCAGGAAGCAGGUCAUAUAAACAAUAUUAUUCCCAAACAGCGGGUCAUACAAAUGCUCAACGAAAUAUUUCAAAACUCAACUCAUUGUGACAAACAAGUAGUAGGUCAUAUAAAUAAUAUUAUUCCCAAACAGCAGGUCAUACAAAUGCUCAACGAAAUAUUUCAAAAAUCAACUCAUUGUGACAAACAAUUAGCCAUCAACAAUUAAUUAUGUCGUACUUCAUCAAAUACAACAGUUACACAAAUAUUAAGAUCCAGAAUUGACACAAUUUCGUUGCUCAAUCAAAGUGAGGUGAAAAGGUUUCAUGACUUACAUAAUCAAACGCAACAGAGAGAACCAACAUGGAAUUCCUAAGGUGCUUAAUAGGAUCACAUUCAUAAGAGUAUUAACCUUAAACAAACUAUUAUGUACAGGUAAUGUCAAUAAAGAGCUUCUUAUAAGAUUUAAAGACAUGGUUUCAGUUCAGGUGGACAGUAAGAAAAGGAUUGAGUACUAUUUUAAAAUAAAGGCAUGGGAUUAUGAAACCAAAAUAGGGAAAAAUAUAACAUCAACUAUGUAGAUGCUUUAAUAUUUUUACAAAGGCCAGUAAGUUGUACAAAGUCAGCAAUGCCAUGAGAAGGUUGUGGGAAUUGUAUUCAGUUAGAAUAGAACACAAACCAUUAACAUGUAAAGCACAGAAGUGAAGAGUUUCAGAAAAAGAAUUGCUGAUGAAUAAUCUUACCAAAUAUAUUAACACUACACGUCAAUUACGGAAGGGUCUUUUUCAUUGCUAGCUAAAUCUGAAAAAAAUUAAAAUAAUAAGUCGUGAGAUAAAUAAAAGCAUAUCAACAAUACUUAUAUUAUAACAAAUAUAGUAAACAAUAUUAUUACCUUGUUCAAGCUGCUCGAUUUUAUCAAGAUCUUCCUCAAUACUGAUGGGUUGUNNN
rnacentral:lncRNA from 1 species